rnacentral:rRNA from 1 species
CUUGGGUGACGAGUGGCGGACGGGUGAGUAAUGUCUGGGGAUCUGCCCGAUAGAGGGGGAUAACCACUGGAAACGGUGGCUAAUACCGCAUAACGUCGCAAGACCAAAGAGGGGGACCUUCGGGCCUCUCACUAUCGGAUGAACCCAGAUGGGAUUAGCUAGUAGGCGGGGUAAUGGCCCACCUAGGCGACGAUCCCUAGCUGGUCUGAGAGGAUGACCAGCCACACUGGAACUGAGACACGGUCCAGACUCCUACGGGAGGCAGCAGUGGGGAAUAUUGCACAAUGGGCGCAAGCCUGAUGCAGCCAUGCCGCGUGUAUGAAGAAGGCCUUCGGGUUGUAAAGUACUUUCAGCGGGGAGGAAGGCGGUGAGGUUAAUAACCUCGCCGAUUGACGUUACCCGCAGAAGAAGCACCGGCUAACUCCGUGCCAGCAGCCGCGGUAAUACGGAGGGUGCAAGCGUUAAUCGGAAUUACUGGGCGUAAAGCGCACGCAGGCGGUCUGUUAAGUCAGAUGUGAAAUCCCCGGGCUUAACCUGGGAACUGCAUUUGAAACUGGCAGGCUUGAGUCUCGUAGAGGGGGGUAGAAUUCCAGGUGUAGCGGUGAAAUGCGUAGAGAUCUGGAGGAAUACCGGUGGCGAAGGCGGCCCCCUGGACGAAGACUGACGCUCAGGUGCGAAAGCGUGGGGAGCAAACAGGAUUAGAUACCCU